GAUGAACGCUGGCGGCGUGCCUAAUACAUGCAAGUCGAGCGAACAGACGAGGAGCUUUCUCCUCUGACGUUAGCGGCGGACGGGUGAGUAACACGUGGAUAACCUACCUAUUAGACUGGGAUAACUUCGGGAAACCGGUGCUAAUACCGGAUAAUAUAUUGAACCGCAUGGAUCAAUAGUGAAAGACGGUUUUGCUGUCUCUUAUAGAUGGAUCCGUGCCGCAUUAGCUGGUUGGUAAGGUAACGGCCUACCAAGGCGACGAUGCGUAGCCGAUCUGAGAGGGUGAUCAGCCACACUGGAACUGAGACACGGUCCAGACUCCUACGGGAGGCAGCAGUAGGGAAUAUUCCGCAAUGGGCGAAAGCCUGACGGAGCAACGCCGCGUGAGUGAAGAAGGUCUUCGGAUCGUAAAACUCUGUUAUUAGGGAAGAAAAAAUGUGUAAGUAACUAUGCACGUCUUGACGGUACCUAAUGAGAAAGCCACGGCUAACUACGUG
rnacentral:rRNA from 1 species